CACGUAGGGUGCGAGCGUUGUCCGGAAUUAUUGGGCGUAAAGAGCUCGUAGGCGGUGUGUCGCGUCGGCCGUGAAAACCUGCAGCUUAACUGUGGGCUUGCGGUCGAUACGGGCAUCACUGGAGUUCGGCAGGGGAGACUGGAAUUCCUGGUGUAGCGGUGAAAUGCGCAGAUAUCAGGAGGAACACCGGUGGCGAAGGCGGGUCUCUGGGCUGACACUGACGCUCAUGCACGAAAGCGUGGGGAUCAAACAGG
rnacentral:rRNA from 1 species